rnacentral:rRNA from 1 species
UACGAAGGGGGCUAGCGUUGUUCGGAAUCACUGGGCGUAAAGCGCGCGUAGGCGGAUCGUUAAGUCAGGGGUGAAAUCCCGAGGCUCAACCUCGGAACUGCCUUUGAUACUGGCGAUCUGGAGUCCGGGAGAGGUGAGUGGAACUCCUAGUGUAGAGGUGAAAUUCGUAGAUAUUAGGAAGAACACCAGUGGCGAAGGCGGCUCACUGGCCCGGUACU